GAAGAGCUAGAAAUAACUCUCACCCCACACUCUGGCAGUCCAUGUUUUCAGCCACCAAGGACUGGGGACAGGGCAGAAGAGAAGGAGAGAAGAGAACGUGGCAGAAGACAUAUUUGAAGAGACAAUGCUCAGGAACUUCUAAAAUUGAUGAGGUCAUCAAUUCACAAAUGGAAGGAGUUCAGCAAAUCCCAAGCAAGUUAAAUACAAAACAAAAAUAAGCCAACAAAUUUAAAAAUCCCAUAUAUAGGCAUAUCAUAAUCAAACUGCUGAAAACUGAAGAUGGAAGAGAUCUUACAAGCAACAGGAGAGCAACAGGAGAAUAAAAGACACAUUAGUUAUGUGAGAAUGGCAACAUGGGUUAUGGCUAUUCCAUGUUUUAGGACCAGAAAAAAAUGGAGUCUUAGCUGAGCAUGGUGGCACAUGCUUGAACCCAGGAGUUUGAGUCCAGCCUGAGUAAAGUAGUGAGACCCCAUCUCUAUUUAAAAAAGAAAAGAAGUCCAGGCACGGUGGCUCACACCUGUAAUCUCAGAACUUUGGGAGGUGGGCAAAUCACAAGGUCAAGAGGUCGAGACCAUCCUGGCCAACAUGGUGAAACUGCGUCUCUACUAAAAAUACAAAAAUUAGCCGGGUGUGGUGGUGCACACCUGUAGUCCCAGCUACUCGGGAGGCUGAGGCAGGAGAAUCACUUGAACCCAGGAGGUGGAGGUUGCACUGAGCCGAGAUCAUGUGCCACUGCACUCCAGCCUGUCGACAGAGCGAGACUCAGUCUCAAAAACAAAGAAAGAAAAGAAAAGGAAAAAUAGAAUGUUAAAUACAAUGGGAUGACAUCCAUAAAGAGCUGAAAGAAAAAAAAAAAAAACAACCUGUUAACCUAGAUUUCUAUGGCCAGCAGAAAUAGCCUUCAAAAAUAAUGGCAAAAUAAAGACUUUUUGGACAUAUCAAAAAGGGAAAGAAUUUGUUUCCAGCAGACCUGGACUCAAAAAACAUUAAAACAUACACAUUAACAAGAUGUGGGUUUUACAGCAUAUAUGUGAUUAUACAACCAUGAAAGAACAAAAAGGAGGAGAUGGAAUUAUACUGUCAUACAUUUCUUACUCUGUGAAAGGAGACUGUAGUAACUUCUGGAUGCAUAUGUAAUCUCUAGAACAAGCACUAAAAACACAAACAGGGAUACCAUAAAGUCAGUACAUCUGCCCAAGAGGGAUUAACCGCUACGAGAAUCAUUCUCCUACUGUAAACAGCUAGAAAACAGGACAAAAAUACAUGAAACAACUGUUUUCAGACAUUGGACAACAGGCAGCACAGGAUAGUGAUCCCUGAGAGAAGGGAAAUAACUGAUAUGAACCCUACAGGGGUUCCUAUAGGCAGUUUCCAGAUUGUAGCACAGAGUAGGGGAAUCCAAAUAGAGCCCAGGAGAGUUUGGAGAAGUCAAGGCAACUAGAAUUUGUGGGGCAGAAAACAAGAAUAAAAGGAACUACACAGAAAUCUAUAGAAGUAAGAGAAUCUUUGAUUGGACACUCAUCUGCACAUGUGAAGUGUGGAAGUCAGCAAUGCUGGAGAAAGUCACACUGGAAAUCAGAACACUGAACAAUUCCAGGAGCUCACACAGAGCUGGGAAUAGUUUAUGUUUCCAUUAGGCAUAGUGGAGAGACUGUUUCAUACAAAGGACAUUGGCUAGAGUCUUCAAAGUGGGGUUAAAUUAGCUAUAGACUAAAGGCCUUUCUAAACCUACCCUAAGCUUCAAGGCAGGUUUUGAAAGGACCAGGCUGAUUCUAAGUAACUCAAUUAUGUGCCAAAACUAAACUCUUUUAAAGAAUACAGUAAAUGCCAGCACCUAACAAUUAAAAUGUUCAGCAUUAAUAAUAUAUUAAUGAAAGAUUACUAGGCAUACAAAUAAAAAGCAGGAAAAUGACCCAUAACCAGGAGAAAAAUCAAUAGAAAAGAGACCUAGAAAUGUGGAAUUAUUAGAAAUAAUUCUGAUGAUUGAAUUAUCAGCCAAAUAUGUUAAUACAAGUAUUAUAAUGACUAGUAGAGAAAUGAAUGAUAGAUAAAAAGACACAAGCCAGAUGUGGUGAAUCAUGCCUACAGACUUGAGGGUAGGCAGAUCAGCUUGCCCAACAUGGCAAAACCCUGUCUCUACUAAAAAUACAAAAAUUAGCUGGGUGUGGUGGGAUGUGCCUGUAAUUCCAGCUUGGGAGGCUGAGGCACGAGAAUUGCUUGAACCUGGGAGGCAGAGGUUGCAGUGAGCUGAGAACAUGCCACUGUACUCCAACCUGGGUGACGGAGUGAGACUUUGUCGCAAAAAAAACCAAAAGACUCACAAGUAGUAUCUAAAGAUGAAAAAUACCAGAUAUAAUAUCCAAAACUGGGGGAAAAACUGGAUGUGAUUAACAGCAGAUUAGACACUGCGGAAAAAAAGAUCAUUAAAUGUGAAGGUAUAGCAGUAGAACCUAUUCACAUUGAAGCACAAAGAGAAAAAAAAUACUAGAACAAAGUUAAUAGAACAUCAGUAACCUUGGGACAAUAGCAAGUUGCCUAAUACAUGUAUAAUUGGAGUUCCAGAAAAGUGGGGAAAGGUAGAAGGAAUUACUUUAGGAAACAGCGUCUGGGUGGCCAGGUGGGUGGCUCACACUUGUAAUCCUAGCACUUUGGGGGGCCGAGGGGGGUGCAGAUCAUUUGAGAUCAGGAGUUUGAGACCAGCCUGUCCAACAUGGUGAAAUCUCUUCUCUACUAAAAAUACAAAAAUUAGCUGGGCUUGGUGGCAUGCGACUGUAAUCUCAGCUUCUUGGGAGGCUGAAGCAUGAGAAUUGCUUGAGCCAGGGAGAUGUAGGUUGCAGUAAGCCAAGAUCAUGCCACUACACUACAGCCUGGGCAACAGAGUGAGAACCUAUCUCAAAAAAAAAAAAAAAAAGAAAAAGAAAAAGAAAAAGAAAAUAAGAAAAUAGUGGCUCAUCAUGGUGGCUCAUGCCUGUAAUCCCAGCACUUUGAGAGGCUGAGAUGAGAGGAUUUUUUGAGCACAGGAGUUCAAGACCAGCCUGGGCAAUUUCCUUAAAAAAGAAAAAGAAACAGUGACUAUAAAUUUUCCAAAUCUGAUGAUAACCAUAAACUCUCAGAUCCAAGAAACUCAGUGAACUCUAAAUAGAAUAAACAAAUAUAAUCAUACCUAGGUAUGUAAUAAUAAAAUUAGUGCCAGUCAUGGUGGCUCAUGCCUGUAAUCCUAACACUUUGGGAUGCUGAGGCCCGGAGUUUGAGACCAGCCUGGGCAACAUAGUGAUACCCCUAUGUCUACAAAGAUUAAAAAAUAGAAAUAUAAAAAGUUAGCUAAGCAUGGUGGCACUUGUCUGUAAUCCCACUUACUUGGGAGGCUGAGGUGGGAGGAUUGCUUGAACUCACGAGGUCAAGGCUGCGGUAAGCCAUAAUUGUAUUCCACCCAGGGUGAUAAAGCAUGACGGGAGAUCCUGUCUCAAAACAAAACAAAACCAAAAAAAGGCGAGGCACAGUGACUCACACUUGUAAUCCCAGCAUUUUGGGAGGUCAAGGUAGGAUGAUCGCUUGAGCCCAGAAAUUGGAGACAAGCCUGGGCAACAUAGUGAGACCCUGUCUCUCAAAAAAAAGUUUAAAAAGGCGGGCAUGGUGGCAUGGGCCUGUAGUCCUGUCUACUCAGGUGGCUAAGGUGGGAGGAUUGCUUGAGCUUGGGAGGUUGAGGCUGCAGUGAACUGUGUUCGUGCCACUGCACUCCAGCAUGGGAGACAGAGCAAGAUCCUUUCUCAAUAAUAACACAUAAACCAAUGUUACAAUGAGAAGAAAUAAAUUCUGGUGUUCGGUUUUUUGUUUUUUUUUUUCUGAGAUGGAGUUUCUCUCUUGUUGCCCACGCUGGAGUGCAAUGGCAUAGUCUUGGCUCACUGCAACCUCCACCUCCUGGAUUCAAGAUGAUUCUUUUCCCUCAGCCUCCCAAGUAGCUGGGAUUACAGGUGCAUGCCACCACACCCAGCUAAUUUUCGUAUUUUUAGUCCAUCACGUUAGCCAGGCUGGUCUCAAACUCCUGAUCUCAAAUUCUGGUGUUCUAUUGCACAGUGGGGUGAGUAUAGUUAAGAGUAAAAUAUUAUUACAAAAUAGCUGGAAGAGGGGCUUUUGAAUGUUCUUUCACUAACUGCUCUGAUUGGAUCAUUAUGCAACAUGGAUAUGUAUCAAAACAUCGAACUGUGGCCCGGCGUGGUGGCUCAUGCUGGUAAUUCCAGCACUUUGGGAGUCUGCGGUGGGUGGAUCACCUGAGGUCAGGAGUUCAAGACUAGCCUGGCCAACAUGGUGAAACCCCAUCUCUACUAAAAAUACAAAAAUUAGCUGGGUGUGGUGGUGCAUGCCUGUAAUUCCAGCUACUCGGGAGACUGAGGCGGGAGAAUUGCUUGAACCUGGGAGGCAGAGGUUGCAGUGAGCUGAGAUUGCGCCAUCGCACUCCAGCCUGGGCAACAGAGCAAGACUCCAUCUCAAAAAAAAAAAAAUCAAAUUGUACCCCAUAAGUAUGUACAAUUACAAUAUGACAGUUUAAAAAAUAAAUUAAAAAAAAAU
rnacentral:lncRNA from 1 species